AGAGUUUGAUCAUGGCUCAGAUUGAACGCUGGCGGCAGGCCUAACACAUGCAAGUCGAGCGGUAGCACAGAGAGCUUGCUCUCGGGUGACGAGCGGCGGACGGGUGAGUAAUGUCUGGGAAACUGCCUGAUGGAGGGGGAUAACUACUGGAAACGGUAGCUAAUACCGCAUAAUGUCGCAAGACCAAAGUGGGGGACCUUCGGGCCUCAUGCCAUCAGAUGUGCCCAGAUGGGAUUAGCUAGUAGGUGGGGUAAUGGCUCACCUAGGCGACGAUCCCUAGCUGGUCUGAGAGGAUGACCAGCCACACUGGAACUGAGACACGGUCCAGACUCCUACGGGAGGCAGCAGUGGGGAAUAUUGCACAAUGGGCGCAAGCCUGAUGCAGCCAUGCCGCGUGUGUGAAGAAGGCCUUCGGGUUGUAAAGCACUUUCAGCGGGGAGGAAGGCGNNNUAAGGUUAAUAACCUUGGCGAUUGACGUUACCCGCAGAAGAAGCACCGGCUAACUCCGUGCCAGCAGCCGCGGUAAUACGGAGGGUGCAAGCGUUAAUCGGAAUUACUGGGCGUAAAGCGCACGCAGGCGGUCUGUCAAGUCGGAUGUGAAAUCCCCGGGCUCAACCUGGGAACUGCAUUCGAAACUGGCAGGCUAGAGUCUUGUAGAGGGGGGUAGAAUUCCAGGUGUAGCGGUGAAAUGCGUAGAGAUCUGGAGGAAUACCGGUGGCGAAGGCGGCCCCCUGGACAAAGACUGACGCUCAGGUGCGAAAGCGUGGGGAGCAAACAGGAUUAGAUACCCUGGUAGUCCACGCCGUAAACGAUGUCGAUUUGGAGGUUGUGCCCUUGAGGCGUGGCUUCCGGAGCUAACGCGUUAAAUCGACCGCCUGGGGAGUACGGCCGCAAGGUUAAAACUCAAAUGAAUUGACGGGGGCCCGCACAAGCGGUGGAGCAUGUGGUUUAAUUCGAUGCAACGCGAAGAACCUUACCUGGUCUUGACAUCCACAGAACUUUCCAGAGAUGGAUUGGUGCCUUCGGGAACUGUGAGACAGGUGCUGCAUGGCUGUCGUCAGCUCGUGUUGUGAAAUGUUGGGUUAAGUCCCGCAACGAGCGCAACCCUUAUCCUUUGUUGCCAGCGGUUAGGCCGGGAACUCAAAGGAGACUGCCAGUGAUAAACUGGAGGAAGGUGGGGAUGACGUCAAGUCAUCAUGGCCCUUACGACCAGGGCUACACACGUGCUACAAUGGCAUAUACAAAGAGAAGCGACCUCGCGAGAGCAAGCGGACCUCAUAAAGUAUGUCGUAGUCCGGAUUGGAGUCUGCAACUCGACUCCAUGAAGUCGGAAUCGCUAGUAAUCGUAGAUCAGAAUGCUACGGUGAAUACGUUCCCGGGCCUUGUACACACCGCCCGUCACACCAUGGGAGUGGGUUGCAAAAGAAGUAGGUAGCUUAACCUUCGGGAGGGCGCUUACCACUUUGUGAUUCAUGACUGGGGUGAAGUCGUAACAAGGUAACCGUAGGGGAACCUGCGGUUGGAUCACCU
rnacentral:rRNA from 1 species